AUCCCAGUUCGGAUUGCAGGCUGCAACCCGCCUGUAUGAAGUUGGAAUCGCUAGUAAUCGCGGAUCAGCAUGCCGCGGUGAAUACGUUCCCGGGCCUUGUACACACCGCCCGUCACACCAUGAGAGUCGGGAACACCCGAAGUCCGUAGUCUAACCGCAAGGGGACGCGGCCGAAGGUGGGUUCGAUAAUUGGGGUGAAGUCGUAACAAGGUAAC
rnacentral:rRNA from 1 species